rnacentral:rRNA from 1 species
GACGAACGCUGGCGGCGUGCUUAACACAUGCAAGUCGAACGGAAAGGCCCUGCUUUUGUUGGGUGCUCGAGUGGCGAACGGGUGAGUAACACGUGAGUAACCUGCCCUUGACUUUGGGAUAACUUCAGGAAACUGGGGUUAAUACCGGAUAGGAGCUCCUGCUGCAUGGUGGGGGUUGGAAAGUUUCGGCGGUUGGGGAUGGACUCGCGGCUUAUCAGCUUGUUGGUGGGGUAGUGGCUUACCAAGGCUUUGGCGGGUAGCCGGCCUGAGAGGGUGACCGGCCACAUUGGGACUGAGAUACGGCCCAGACUCCUACGGGAGGCAGCAGUGGGGAAUAUUGCACAAUGGGCGGAAGCCUGAUGCAGCAACGCCGCGUGCGGGAUGACGGCCUUCGGGUGGUAAACCGCUUUCGCCUGUGACGAAGCGUGAGUGACGGUAAUGGGUAAAGAAGCACCGGCUAACUACGUG